UGCUCAUCAUGAUGUGCCUGUGAGUACCCGCCCCCUACCUUAGUUGUUGUUCUCCUUGUUUACCCCAUAACGGCUGCUUCGCGCGGAUCUGUGCCUCCAUCCAUCACAGGGAGAGGAGGGCUAGAGCAGUCACCGUCGAGCAGGGAGGCGGCUGGAGUUGUCCGUUAUUGAGGAAAGAAUGGCAGCUCGAGGAGACUUGAGGCAGCGGUGGCGGGGAGUGUGUGUGUGUUCAGAACAGAUGUGUUUUCAGAACUUAUUACUUUUGAUACACUGCCCCUUUAUGUUGAGCAGAUGCGGAUUAUAUUUAGGGAGAUUAAGAUGCUCAAGACCAAGGAAUGCAUACUGAAGGCUGCCAAUGAUACCCUUCAAGAAAGGCCCUAACAGAUAAAUGGAAGCAUCUAUUGGGUGGUACUCUCACUGCUUAGCAAAGAGAAUGAAGGGUCAACAUUUACGGUCAUGCUGCCCACGCUUCGGAAAAAAGGCAAAAAUGUUUUACGGCUCAAGCAUGGGAAGUAUAGACCAAAGAAUGUGGUUUACAGUUUCCCUAUUUUGUUGGAUCAGCUAAUGUGUUGAUUUGUUGCUUCAUGUCAGUGAUGUAUGUAAUCAAGAAUCAGGAAAGCAUACCAGUAUAGUGGCAAUUUCAAAACUUAGAAAAAUGAGAAGAUUGCCCAAACCUACAGAUUUGUAAUUAACAUUUAGCACUACAUGUUGCCACUGGGUCAUUCUGCCAUGUGACGUUCUUAUACAAAUAUGUUGUUUUCUCAA